GGGGAAGAGGGGGGGAGGGAAUGAAAGAAAAAGGUCACGCGAUAAGGAUUUAAUUAUCGUUCAGGAGGGUGGGGGGAAGGGGUGGGACGGGUCUGUUAGAGAAAAAUAAUCGACUUUCUGACACUUGUGAAAUCGACAUUGGAUCGAUUGAUUCGCGAAUUGUGUAAAAAAAAAAAAAAAGAUAAAUAAAUAAAUAAAUAAAUAAAUAAAUAAAUAAAUAAAUAAAUAAAUGAAUAAAUAAAUAAAUAAAAUAAUACAAAAAAAGAAGAAGAAGAUGAAGAUAAAGAAGAAGAAGAAGAAGAAGAAGAGGAAGAAGAAGAAGAAGACGUGUAAGGUGGCUCGUAUAGAUUUAGGUGAGAAAUUUUGUGACGUUUAAUGGUAUCGUUAGAGGGGUAGUAGGGAAGGGGAGAGGGAGCGAACAAAAAGAAAUUUACGAAAAAACGAAAAAAUAUUACAGACCGAGAGAGAGAGUAAGAGUGAGAGUGAGAGAGAGGAAAAAUGAGGAUAAAAUGUCACGAACGGUAUCGUCGUCGCGCAUUAUUUUUCUUUACUUUUCUUUUUCUUCUUUUUCUUUCUUUUUUUUUUUCUUUUUCUUCCUUUUUUCUUUUUUUUUCCCCCCUAUGACAUCGCAUAGCGCGCGUUAUCGUGUGUGAAGAUAGGCGACAAAGAGAGAAAAAAAAGGGAAAGAAAAUAAAUAAAAUGAUCGACCUGUCAUUAUUAUUAGUUCCUUUUCGACGCAUCAUCGGACCUUGACAAAAAAAUAAGAAAAGAAAAAAAAAAAAAGGAAAAAGAAAAGAGAAAAAAAAGGAAAAAAAAAUGCAUGCUCAAGGCAACAUUGCUAUCGAUCGAUCGAUUGAUCGAUCAAUCGAAAGAAAGAACGAACGAACGAACGAACGAACGAACGAACGUACGUACGUAUCGUUUUAAAUUGUAUUCGUGCAAAGCUAUGUUGUUGCUUAUGUACAUGACAUAUGACAUUGAAGAAGAUAAAACAGCAAGAAGACAUUUCCCUGUGUGAUUUUAAAGCUACGCUCCUCGAACUCGUUCCCCUCUUUUGAAUACUGCGCGUCGAAUUCCAAAAAAAAAAAAAAAAUGAAAUAGGGGGGGAAAAAAAAGGGGGCGUAAAGGGAGGGUAGGGGAAUAGAAAUGGUAAGAAAAGUGAAGAGGAUGUAGAAAGAAACAAAAAACAAUAAAAUAAAAUAAAAUGAAAUAAAUAGAAACGGGGCGGAGGGAGGGGAGGGUAAGUGAAAAAGGAUGAAAUAACGAAGAAAAUUCUUUUUAGAAGAAUAAUGCUCGCUCGUGACGCGUCAUAGAUCAUUUCGAUCUCUCUUAUUGUAAGAAAAUGAAUGAAAUAUAUAACAUGCAUAAUGUAAAUAUAAAUCGGCAAAUUAUCGGAUAACGAAGAGAGUGAAUGUCGCAGAGACGCGACGAAAGGGUUUCGCGAGUUCGCACUUUCGAGACCCCGAACUUAAUUAAGCGUCUAAUUCCAGUAACCUCCCGCUCUCCUCCACCUUACCCACUCAACCCACCCGCCCGCCCGGCCACCCGCCCGUCCGCCCGCUUGCCUGCUCGCUGCUCGCUCGCUCCCCCGCUCUCUCGCCCGCUCGUCCCCGACCGACCGCUGGUAAUUAUUAUAAUAAUACCAUUAGGCGUCGGCAAAUGCGUAUUACUAUCACCGAAAGGGAACUACGAGAGCGAGCUGCCACUACGCUCUCGGCGAUUAUAAUAAUUAUCCUUCGGUCGGACGGAAGAGCUGGAGCUCCUUUUUUGUUGAAGACCAAGAUGGAGAGUUCUCUCUUUCUUUUCUCUCUCUCUCUCUCUCUCUCUCUCUCUCUCUCUCUCUCUCUAGCGUUCUAUCUAUCCUUCGUUUUCUCUUUUCUCAAGCAAUUCAUCUCGAUCAGAAAUAAUCUCGAUUUUUUUGCAAAAAUUUUUCUUCGAUCUUAAAGGAAAAAAAAAAAAAAAAAAGAAAAAAAAAAAGAAUGAUCUAUUCUUCUUAUUAUUAUUAUCAUCAUCCGUUCUUAUUCUUAAUUCUUCUUCUAAUAUUUUCUUUUUUUCUUCCUUCCUUCUUUCCUUCCUUCCUUCCUUCCUUCCUUCCUUCCUUCUUUCUUUUUUUCUUUCUCUUCAUAAUCUUCUUCUUCUUCUGUUUCUCUCUCCCUUUUGUAAAUGCCAAUCGUACGACGGUAGAUCCCCUGUGACAGUUGCUCAACUACUUUGCUCGACCUACUUUGUUCAGUCUCUGUGAGAAAGAAAAAGAGAGAGAAAGAAAGAUAAAGGGAGAAAGAGAAAGAGAAGAGAGAGAGAGAGAGAGAGAGAGACAAAGAAAGAAACGAAGAAAGAAAAAAGAGAGAAAACAUUGCAUAAACUCGUUGAGCGGUCGUUCCUCAAGGCGCUUGAAAAUAAUGAAAUCCUAAUGACAUUUUCGUGAGUCCAACGAUCUCGGCAAUCACGGUGGCUCGGUGUAAUCACCGUGGUCCCUCCUUUUCGGAUGAAGCAACUCUCUUCUUCGAGUUGAAGAAGGGAGAAGAAGAAGGAGAAAGAGACGAUUUCGGGGAGACGAGAGGAGGAGAGAGGAAGGAAGGGUGGUGAGAGUUGAGAGGAGAGAGAGAGAGAGAGAGAGAGAGAGAGAGAGAGGAAGAUCUCCUCCGAAAAGGAGAGAAGCAAAAGGUGCCCUCGACGUCUUCGUCGUUGAACCCGUUGAGUGGUUUGGAUCAGUGGGACGAAAGGGGAAUGAAAAAAUCAUUAUCUUUCUCUUACUCUCUCCCUCUCCCUCCCUCCCUCUCUCUCACUCUCUCUCUCUCUCUCUCUUUGUCUCUCUCACUCUUUCUCGAACGUCUCCCGAACGUUCAACACGUUUACUAAAGUGAAAACGUUAAUUUAAAUACUUACGCGCGUUUCGUCAAAAUUGUUAUAAAUAUUUUUCAUUCGUUUCGAUUAUCAUCGCGUACGAAACAAUUCAAAGCAGAUGUCAGAAGGAAGGAAAAAAGACAGAGAAAGAGAGAGAGAGAGAGAGAAAGAGAGAGAGAGAGGAAGAAGAAAAAGAAAAAGAGAGAAGAGAAGAGAGAAAAAGAAACAACAAUAAUAAUAAUAAUAAUUUUUAAACAAUUCAACUUUAAAGCAAUUGAUUAUGUUCGUUCAUUCUUUUCUCGUGUACUCCUCCAUUUUGGGUCACCCUUUUAGCCAUCUUGCAUCUUCUGAGUGAACGAGUAAGAGAGUUAAACAGAAAGAAAGAGAGAGAGAGAGAGAGAGAGAGGGAGGGAGAAAGGAAGGAGGGAGAGAGAAAGAGACAGAGAAUGUGCUCAUAAUACCUGCUUCUCUGACAAUGAGAGAGGCGACACGAAACCGCAAAAAAGGCGGUUGCGGCUUGCGAGCACGGGAAACUGGGAGGUCCGGCGUGCCCCACCGCUUUGACCCAAAUACAGUGGUCUGGGUUGCUACAAUGAUGAUCGUCUCAUGAGAAAAAGCAAGCAGCACUCUUUCUAAAUAAAGAGGAUCUCCUCUUUCUCUUUCUCUCUUUCUUUUUUUCUCUUUCUUCUUUACUCUCUUUCUCUCCAUUUCUCUCUCACUCUCUCUCUCUCUCUCUCUCUCUCUCUCUCUUUCUCUCUCUCACUCUCUUGCUCUGUCUUUUUCUCUAUCUUUCCAUUGACUCAAUUUUUCUUCAAAGACACUUUUCUAUAUCGUAUACCUUGGCCGUCGUACGUCGUAAUAAAUCGUUUCAACAAUGUCAUAGUUCCCGUAUGGAUGAUGUAUCAUCAAAUUCGUUGGAUAAUAUUUCCAUUCGUACUUAUUUAUUAUCGAAUGAAUUUUGAUGAAAAAAACAAAAAAAAAAGAAAAGAAAGAAAGAAAAGAAAAAACAAAAAAAUACCAAAAGCAGAAUUUUAAAUGGCGAACAGAGAAGAACAAGUACAAAUCCGAAAAAAAAAAAAAGAAACAAAUAUGUUCAGGUAAAAUAUUCAAUCGUUUUAUUCUCUCUCUCUCUCUCUCUCUCUCUCUCUCUCUCUAUCUCUCUUUCUCUCUCUUCCUCCCUCCUUCCUCCUCUACCCCCCCUCUCUCUCUCUUUCUCUUUUAUAUAGAUAAAAAAAAGAUAACAACAACACCACCAAUAUUAAGUACCGUUAGAUUCUAACCGCAAAAGGAGCCGUAAGAAGAAAAAGCAACGACAAAUUAUUCGAUUCUCGAACAAAAUAGUUACAUACAUGUAACAAACACGUACGUACACACAUACAUACAUACAUACAUACAUACAUACAUACAUACAUACAUAUAUAUAUACAUAAAUACAUAGAUAUACAUACACAUAUAUUUCUUAGAUUCUCAAUUUGGUGUGCAAUAAAAGGGAUUUAAAUUCCUUUAAAUCCUCGUAUAAUUUUCACUACGUCCUAUGUUCUUUCUUUCUUUCUUUCUUUCUUUCUUUCUUUCUUUCUUUCUUUCUUUCUUUCUUUCUUUCAUUCUCUUUCUCUUUUUCUUUUUGGUGAAAACGAAAGGAAAAAAAAGAAAUGGAAGAAAAAAAAAGGAUAGAAAGAGAGGAAGAAAUGAGAAAGAAAAACAAAAAAACAAAAGAAAAGGAAAAGAAAAAAAAAACGAAGAAGAAAAAUCUUUCCUACCUCCUUUCUCAAAUCUCAAGAAGAUUAUUUCCGUAAUCACUAAGCGAAUAGAAAGAUACUCCGUCGGCCGUGUCUCUCCUUGGCGUAAAGGAAAAUUAUUUCUUUUCCCAUUGUCCGUGGAUGUGAACGCGUAACACGCCAGUUAAACCGAGUGUUGUCACGCCUUCCUCGCGGAAUAUUCUAACGGUGUUUCCGAAGUAUGCAUGUAAUAGAAAGAGAGAGGAGAAGAAGAAGAAGAAGAAGAAGAUGAAGAAGAAGAUGAAGAAGAAGAAGAAGAAGAAGAACAAGAAGAGAUAGAAGAAGAAAUAAAAGAAUAAGAAG